rnacentral:rRNA from 1 species
UACGUAGGGUGCGAGCGUUAAUCGGAAUUACUGGGCGUAAAGCGUGCGCAGGCGGUUUUGUAAGCCAGAUGCGAAAUCCCGGGCUUAACCUGGGAAUGGCAUUUGGGACUGCAAGGCUGGAGUGCGGCAGAGGAGACUGGAAUUCCUGGUGUAGCAGUGAAAUGCGUAGAUAUCAGGAGGAACACCGAUGGCGAAGGCAGGUCUCUGGGCUGACACUGACGCUCAUGCACGAAAGCGUGGGGAGCAAACAGG